UGGGAGGGCAAGUCUGGUGCCAGCAGCCGCGCUAAUUCCAGCUCCAAUAGCGUAUAUUAAAGUUGUUGCAGUUAAAAAGCUCGUAGUUGAAUUUCGGGAUCAAAUUGUCGGUCGUGCCUCGGUACGUACUGGCGUUAUUGGUUCCUCCCUUCUGAAGAACCACGAUGUCAUUAAUUUGGUGUCGCGGGGAAUCAGGACUGUUACCUUGAAAAAAUUAGAGUGUUUAAAGCAGGCUCGCGCUUGAAUACAUUAGCAUGGAAUAAUGAAAUAGGACGUUUGAUUCUAUUUUGUUGGUUUCUAGGAUCGACGUAAUGAUUAAUAGGGAUAGUUGGGGGCAUUAGUAUUCAAUUGUCAGAGGUGAAAUUCUUGGAUUUAUUGAAGACUAACUACUGCGAAAGCAUUUGCCAAGGAUGUUUUCAUUAAUCAAGAACGAAAGUUAGGGGAUCGAAGACGAUCAGAUACCGUCGUAGUCUUAACCAUAAACUAUGCCGACUAGGGAUCGGAUGAUGUU
rnacentral:rRNA from 1 species